GCACAUGUAUCUCUUUUCAUUUACUUACUAGAACAUUAUCUUUUCUAGACAAAUAAGUAUAAAUGAAUUACUCUCCAUAACAAGGGAUAAAAUAUAUUGAAACAUCUUUGUAUCUUAAAAUUUAAUAUUCAAUUCUGUACGUUUCAAGCAAAUAACAAAAACUAUGACUUUAAAAUGUACAUUUCAAAUAUAACCUCGUAACCUCUCUCUUUAGACAAAGCUAAAAAUCUAUUUACGCUUACACAGCGUGGAAUUUGGGUCUUAAACUUAUAAAAUACUCCUUUCAUAUUUUCUUCUUUUGAAUUACAAAAGUUUUUUGGUUCUCACAAAAAUGAAAUAAUAUCAUGACUUCGAAAAUGUUCUUUGCUAAUAAAUAUUAUUACCACUAAUUGACUACAUCGCUUCGUCCGCCUUUUCCUAUUUAUUUAUAUAGCAGCUAGUUCAUUCGUAUAUCAAUUUCAUCAUAUUUACACUGGUAAAUU